AUUGAACGCUGGCGGCGUGCCUAAUACAUGCAAGUCGAACGGAGUGGCGCACGGGUGAGUAAUGUAUAGCUAAUCUGCCCUCCACUAGAGGACAACAGCUGGAAACGACUGCUAAUACUCUAUAGUGUAGGAUGAGGCUAUAUUGUAUCAGCUAGCUGGUGAGGUAAUGGCUCACCAAGGCUAUGACGGAUAACUGGUCUGUGAGGAUGAUCAGUGACACUGGAACUGAGACACGGUCCAGACUCCUGCGGGAAGCAGCAGUAGGGAAUAUUGCGCAAGGGGGGAAGCCCUGAAGCAGCAACGGCGCGUGGAGGAUGAAACUUUUCGGAGCAUAGACUCCUGUUGUUGGGUAGGCGGUAGCUAACGAAUAAGCACCGGCUAACUCCGUGCCAGCCGCCGCGGUAAUUC
rnacentral:rRNA from 1 species